rnacentral:rRNA from 1 species
CAGGUCUUGACAUCCUUUGACAAUCCUAGAGAUAGGACUUUCCCUUCGGGGACAAAGUGACAGGUGGUGCAUGGUUGUCGUCAGCUCGUGUCGUGAGAUGUUGGGUUAAGUCCCGCAACGAGCGCAACCCCUAUUGUUAGUUGCCAGCAUUCAGUUGGGCACUCUAAUGAGACUGCCGGUGACAAACCGGAGGAAGGUGGGGAUGACGUCAAAUCAUCAUGCCCCUUAUGACCUGGGCUACACACGUGCUACAAUGGAUGGUACAACGAGCAGCAAGACCGCGAGGUCAAGCGAAUCUCUUAAAGCCAUUCUCAGUUCGGAUUGCAGGCUGCAACUCGCCUGCAUGAAGCCGGAAUCGCUAGUAAUCGCGGAUCAGUACGCCGCGGUGAAUACGUUCCC